CAGCAUUUUAGUUUGCUUGCAAACUAAAGAUGGCGACCGGCGCACGGGUGAGUAACACGUAUCCAACCUGCCGAUAACUCGGGGAUAGCCUUUCGAAAGAAAGAUUAAUAUCCGAUGGUAUAUUAAAACCGCAUGGUUUUACUAUUAAAGAAUUUCGGUUAUCGAUGGGGAUGCGUUCCAUUAGUUUGUUGGCGGGGUAACGGCCCACCAAGACUACGAUGGAUAGGGGUUCUGAGAGGAAGGUCCCCCACAUUGGAACUGAGACACGGUCCAAACUCCUACGGGAGGCAGCAGUGAGGAAUAUUGGUCAAUGGACGAGAGUCUGAACCAGCCAAGUAGCGUGAAGGAUGACUGCCCUAUGGGUUGUAAACUUCUUUUAUAUGGGAAUAAAGUAUUCCACGUGUGGGAUUUUGUAUGUACCAUAUGAAUAAGGAUCGGCUAACUCCGUGCCAGCAGCCGCGGUAAUACGGAGGAUCCGAGCGUUAUCCGGAUUUAUUGGGUUUAAAGGGAGCGUAGGUGGAUUGUUAAGUCAGUUGUGAAAGUUUGCGGCUCAACCGUAAAAUUGCAGUUGAAACUGGCAGUCUUGAGUACAGUAGAGGUGGGCGGAAUUCGUGGUGUAGCGGUGAAAUGCUUAGAUAUCACGAAGAACUCCGAUUGCGAAGGCAGCUCACUAGACUGCAACUGACACUGAUGCUCGAAAGUGUGGGUAUCAAACAGGAUUAGAUACCCUGGUAGUCCACACAGUAAACGAUGAAUACUCGCUGUUUG
rnacentral:rRNA from 1 species